GUAGGGUGCAAGCGUUAUCCGGAAUUAUUGGGCGUAAAGAGCUCGUAGGCGGUUUGUCGCGUCUGUCGUGAAAGUCCGGGGCUCAACUCCGGAUCUGCGGUGGGUACGGGCAGACUAGAGUGAUGUAGGGGAGACUGGAAUUCCUGGUGUAGCGGUGGAAUGCGCAGAUAUCAGGAGGAACACCGAUGGCGAAGGCAGGUCUCUGGGCAUUAACUGACGCUGAGGAGCGAAAGCAUGGGGAGCGAACAGGAUUAGAUACCCUGGUAGUCCAUGCCGUAAACGUUGGGCACUAGGUGUGGGGGACAUUCCACGUUUUCCGCGCCGUAGCUAACGCAUUAAGUGCCCCGCCUGGGGAGUACGGCCGCAAGGCUA
rnacentral:rRNA from 1 species